AGUAAAAUGCCUGAUUAAAGGGCUAUCUUGAUAGGAUAAAUUAAGUAAUUUAUACUUUUACUA
rnacentral:tRNA from 1 species